UUGUGCGCGUGGCUUCUGGGACAACCCAUAUAUGGAAGUUCAACUUCCGUCACGUUUGUCUGGUUUUUAUAUACAGUCUAAGGUUUGUCUGCGGGCUGCAGCUGGACCCUUCUCAGAAAUUUGGAAACAGAACUGCGACGUUGGACCGUUAGAGUCGUCGGACUCGUUAACCAAAAGCAGAACGGGCCGGCUUCAGAGUGACAACAAGCAGACAUUUUUGAGCCGUGUUUCAGAUUGGCCAAAAUGCUCCUUUGGGAUCUGAGAUACCACACAAAUGUUGAUGUGGACCAACAAAUUGUCACACAGCUCUCUGUAACGUGAUUGAUGACUGUGAAGAUGGCAGACUUGAAAAAGGGCCAUGCUUAGACCAGCACUCCUGGCAUCUCAAUACCUAAGAUGGCGCGUAAAGGCUUCAGGGAAGGUCAUCCCAUGCAGUGUGACCACAUUGUGCUCACACUGGAUGGCCAGUUUAUCACAGAAGAGAGCGAGGACAUCUCUAUGGCACUGGGCCUCCUCCUGUGUGUAUAUUUUGUUUGGAAUCCAGCAUCCUAAAGGACUGAAGAAGACACUGACCUUUUUGGAGUGUGUUGUAUUGAAAUUAAGGAUGCAGUCGGACUUCCUGUCACAGUAAAAGAGUAUACAACUUAAUCUGUGAGUGGACUGUAGGACUCAAUAUUCUCUCUUUCUGGAUGGCCAGUUGAAGAGAACAAGGACUUUUCCACUGAACUGGGCCUCUUCCAGUUUCUAUUUUUGAAAUCCUGAAGGACUUACAAACAUGUUAUUGUGCUGUU